GAGUUUGAUCCUGGCUCAGAGUGAACGCUGGCGGCGUGCCUAAUACAUGCAAGUCGAACGAUGAAGCUUCUAGCUUGCUAGAAGUGGAUUAGUGGCGCACGGGUGAGUAAUGCAUAGGUUAUGUGCCCUUUAGUCUGGGAUAGCCACUGGAAACGGUGAUUAAUACUGGAUACUCCCUACGGGGGAAAGGGGCUUUCAAUAAAGAAUUUCUCUUUUUAGUGUUUUGUGUUGUUGGCACAAAAUUCUAGUAUUUGGAAUGAGAAAUUGAUGUUGUGAAGCAAUUUGUGCGGAGACUAGACUUAGUGUCUGUCGCACAAGCAAAUUGCGAACUCAUCGAUUUAUCGUCCAAAGACGAAUUUUUUAUUGAAAGCCUUCGCUAAAGGAUCAGCCUAUGUCCUAUCAGCUUGUUGGUGAGGUAAUGGCUCACCAAGGCUAUGACGGGUAUCCGGCCUGAGAGGGUGAUCGGACACACUGGAACUGAGACACGGUCCAGACUCCUACGGGAGGCAGCAGUAGGGAAUAUUGCUCAAUGGGGGAAACCCUGAAGCAGCAACGCCGCGUGGAGGAUGAANGUUUUGGGAUUGUAAACUCCUUUUGUAAGAGAAAAAUAUGACGGUAUCUUACGAAUAAGCACCGGCUAACUCCGUUCCAGCAGCCGCGGUAAUACGGGAGGUGCAAGCGUUA
rnacentral:rRNA from 1 species